rnacentral:rRNA from 1 species
ACGAACGCUGGCGGCGUGCUUAACACAUGCAAGUCGAACGGAAAGGCCCUGCUUUUGUGGGGUGCUCGAGUGGCGAACGGGUGAGUAACACGUGAGUAACCUGCCCUUGACUUUGGGAUAACUUCAGGAAACUGGGGCUAAUACCGGAUAGGAGCUCCUGCUGCAUGGUGGGGGUUGGAAAGUUUCGGCGGUUGGGGAUGGACUCGCGGCUUAUCAGCUUGUUGGUGGGGUAGUGGCUUACCAAGGCUUUGACGGGUAGCCGGCCUGAGAGGGUGACCGGCCACAUUGGGACUGAGAUACGGCCCAGACUCCUACGGGAGGCAGCAGUGGGGAAUAUUGCACAAUGGGCGGAAGCCUGAUGCAGAAACGCCGCGUGCGGGAUGACGGCCUUCGGGUUGUAAACCGCUUUAGCCUGUGACGAAGCGUGAGUGACGGUAAUGGGUAAAGAAGCACCGGCUAACUACGUG